rnacentral:rRNA from 1 species
AUUGAACGCUGGCGGCAUGCUUUACACAUGCGAGUCGAACGGCAGCGCGGGCUUCGGCCUGGCGGCGAGUGGCGAACGGGUGAGUAAUGCAUCGGAACGUGCCCAGUAGUGGGGGAUAGCCCGGCGAAAGCCGGAUUAAUACCGCAUACGACCUGAGGGUGAAAGCGGGGGACCGAAAGGCCUCGCGCUAUUGGAGCGGCCGAUGUCGGAUUAGCUAGUUGGUGGGGUAAAGGCUUACCAAGGCGACGAUCCGUAGCUGGUCUGAGAGGACGACCAGCCACACUGGGACUGAGACACGGCCCAGACUCCUACGGGAGGCAGCAGUGGGGAAUUUUGGACAAUGGGGGCAACCCUGAUCCAGCCAUGCCGCGUGCGGGAAGAAGGCCUUCGGGUUGUAAACCGCUUUUGUUCGGGAAGAAAUCCUCUGGGCUAAUACCCCGGGGGGAUGACGGUACCGGAAGAAUAAGCACCGGCUAACUACGCG